rnacentral:rRNA from 1 species
AUGAACCUGGCGGCCUGCCUUCACAUGCCAUUCACCUCGGCAGAAAAAAAUACUUGCACCUUUCUUCCGAGUGGCGAAAAGGUGAGUAAUACAUCGGAACAUGUCCUGUAGUGGGGGAUAUUCCCGCGAAAGCCGGAUUAAUACCGCAUACGAUCCAUGGAUGAAAGCGGGGGACCUUCGGGCCUCGCGCUAUAGGGUUGGCCGAUGGCUGAUUAGCUAGUUGGUGGGGUAAAGGCCUACCAAGGCGACGAUCAGUAGCUGGUCUGAGAGGACGACCAGCCACACUGGGACUGAGACACGGCCCAGACUCCUACGGGAGGCAGCAGUGGGGAAUUUUGGACAAUGGGCGAAAGCCUGAUCCAGCAAUGCCGCGUGUGUGAAGAAGGCCUUCGGGUUGUAAAGCACUUUUGUCCGGAAAGAAAUCCCUGGUUCUAAUAUAGCCGGGGGAUGACGGUACCGGAAGAAUAAGCACCGGCUAACUACGUGCCAGCAGCCGCGGUAAUACGUAGGGUGCGAGCGUUAAUCGGAAUUACUGGGCGUAAAGCGUGCGCAGGCGGUUUGCUAAGACCGAUGUGAAAUCCCCGGGCUCAACCUGGGAACUGCAUUGGUGACUG